GAUGAACGCUGGCGGCGUGCCUAAUACAUGCAAGUCGAGCGAACAGAUAAGGAGCUUGCUCCUUUGACGUUAGCGGCGGACGGGUGAGUAACACGUGGGUAACCUACCUAUAAGACUGGAAUAACUCCGGGAAACCGGGGCUAAUGCCGGAUAACAUUUAGAACCGCAUGGUUCUAAAGUGAAAGAUGGUUUUGCUAUCACUUAUAGAUGGACCCGGGCCGUAUUAGCUAGUUGGUAAGGUAACGGCGUACCAAGGCAACGAUACGUAGCCGACCUGAGAGAGUGAUCGGCCACACGGGAGCGGAGACACGGUCCAGACGCCUACGGGAGGCAGCAGUAGGGAAUCUUCCGCAAUGGGCGAGAGCCUGACGGAGCAACGCCGCGUGAGUGAUGGAGGUCUUCGGAUCGUAAAACUCUGUUAUUAGGGAAGAACAAAUGUGUAAGUAACUGUGCACGUCGUGACGGUACCUAAUCAGAAAGCCACGGCUAACUACGUG
rnacentral:rRNA from 1 species